rnacentral:rRNA from 1 species
GCCGGCGACCGGCGCACGGGUGAGUAACGCGUAUGCGACCUGCCCGUCACAGGGGGAUAAUCCGGAGAAAUCCGGUCUAAUACCGCAUAAUAUCGUGAAUCUGCAUGGAUUUGCGAUUAAAGGAGCGAUCCGGUGACGGAUGGGCAUGCGUGACAUUAGCUAGUUGGCGGGGUAACGGCCCACCAAGGCGACGAUGCGUAGGGGUUCUGAGAGGAAGGUCCCCCACACUGGUACUGAGACACGGACCAGACUCCUACGGGAGGCAGCAGUGAGGAAUAUUGGUCAAUGGCCGCAGGGCUGAACCAGCCAAGUCGCGUGAGGGAUGACGGUCCUAUGGAUUGUAAACCUCUUUUGUCAGGGAGCAAAGGGCGCCACGUGUGGCGUUUUGCGAGUACCUGAAGAAAAAGCAUCGGCUAACUCCGUGCCAGCAGCCGCGGUAAUACGGAGGAUGCGAGCGUUAUCCGGAUUUAUUGGGUUUAAAGGGUGCGCAGGCGGAAUGUCAAGUCAGCGGUAAAAUUUCGGGGCUCAACCCCGUCGUGCCGUUGAAACUGGCGUUCUUGAGUGAGCGAGAAGUAUGCGGAAUGCGUGGUGUAGCGGUGAAAUGCAUAGAUAUCACGCAGAACUCCGAUUGCGAAGGCAGCAUACCGGCGCUCAACUGACGCUCAUGCACGAAAGCGUGGGUAUCGAACAGGAUUAGAUACCCUGGUAGUCCACGCAGUAAACGAUGAAUACUAACUGUCCGGGCAGAAUGAU